UACGUAGGUGGCAAGCGUUGUCCGGAUUUACUGGGCGUAAAGAGCGCGCAGGCGGUCGUUCAAGUCGCGUGUGAAAGCCCCCGGCUCAACUGGGGAGGGUCACGCGAUACUGAUCGACUCGAAGGCAGGAGAGGGUAGUGGAAUUCCCGGUGUAGUGGUGAAAUGCGUAGAUAUCGGGAGGAACACCAGUGGCGAAGGCGGGUCUCUGGGCCAAUACUGACGCUGAGGAGCGAAAGCGUGGGGAGCGAACAGG
rnacentral:rRNA from 1 species